GAGUUUGAUCAUGGCUCAGGAUGAACGCUAGCGGCAGGCUUAACACAUGCAAGUCGAGGGGCAGCGCGGGUAGCAAUACCUGGCGGCGACCGGCAAACGGGUGCGGAACACGUACAGAACCUACCUUGAUCUGGGGCAUAGCCCGGAGAAAUCCGGAUUAACUCCCCAUAAUAUAAUUGGAAGGCAUCUUUAGUUAUUAAAAUUUAAUUGGAUCAAGAUGGCUGUGCGUCCCAUUAGCUAGUUGGUAGGGUAACGGCCUACCAAAGGCGACGAUGGGUAGCUGGUGUGAGAGCACGACCAGCCACACGGGCACUGAGACACGGGCCCGACUCCUACGGGAGGCAGCAGUGAGGAAUAUUGGUC
rnacentral:rRNA from 1 species